rnacentral:rRNA from 1 species
UACAGAGGCCCCAAGCAUUAUCCGGAAUCACUGGGCGUAAAGGGUGCGUAGGAGGGCAGGUAAGUCAGUGGUGAAAUCUCCGGGCUCAACUCGGAAACUGCCGUUGAUACUAUCUGUCUUGAAUAUCGUGGAGGUGAGUGGAAUAUGUCAUGUAGCGGUGAAAUGCUUAGAGAUGACAUAGAACACCCAUUGCGAAGGCAGCUUACUACGCCUAUAUUGACGCUGAGGCACGAAAGCGUGGGGAUCAAACAGG